AGCGACAGUGGCGGCGACGAGCGACGGCGUCAGUGAAGUAACAGCAGCGGCAGCUAGAGUCUCUCGACCUCGACGCUCCCUGCCGAAUGACGGCGGAGAUGACCGAGCGGCGGCGAUGCGCUACGCAGCUGCGCGGUAGCGAUAACGGUACUCCAAUGGCUCCAAUAACCUUUACUACCGUUGCCGAGGGAAAUGCUGUGGUGUUUGCAUGGUGCCUAGCUUGGUUUACCUCGCGCGUGCUCGCGUGGUCAAUAACCUGAAGUAACCCCUCAGCUAACAAUAUACAAUACUGGUUGUCGGCUAGACUUGCUUGCGUCGCAUCGCCUUACGAGCUCUCGUAUCGUUAAAUCUUACUCCGAUUUUUGCUGCGUGUGUAUGCGUGCAUGUGCCGUAUAAUUGUCAGUGCAUGAUAAUAAAAAGUAUUUAUUUAGAAUAACGGCUUCAAAUCUUAAUAAAAAUAUACUUAUUCGAUACGUUAUCAUUCAAAAUUAAAGAAUUUGGAAGAGAAACGUGAUGGCCCCGCGAAACGAGUUAUUAACCGUUAAAAAGGUUAAGGUGUCACACUAAGGCCGUGGUUUGAUUCACAUUCAAAGUGCUACUAUUGGCAUCAUUCUGUUUUUGUUGUUCAUUAGGCAUAAACAAGAAUAGCCAAUGAUGAAGCCAAUAGCGGUUUAAACACGAAUCGGACCGCAGCCUAAAUGUAUCGACAUGAAUAUGCGUUGUAAUUCUAUGCCAAACACAAAUUCUCUGCUUUACAAAUGUACAUUCUCUGUUUUAAAAACUUAUCGUAACUUUUUUUCGCGAAUAAAGUUGAACGUCAUUUUAUGCUUUAACUUCGGGCGUGACGUAUAAAAUAUCGUGCGAUUGUAGUUAUUGUGUUACGUCGAGGGAAUCCAACAAAGUUGACAAUCUAAUAAAUUGUACAGCCUGAGAACAAAAGAUCUGGAGAGACACCAGUGGAGCAACCUUGCGAUUCAUCGUAGCGUCGUUGCAGAUAUAACUCUAUUACUGCGCAUUGGUGUCGGUGAGUGAUGAAUAAAUUUUUUUAUUGAGGAUACAGACUUAUAACAAUUGUUUUAAAUAUAUAGCAAGUCUUUCACACAUAUAUACGUGUGUCUAUGAUAAAUUAUUACAAUGUGUUAUCUCUAUAAACUCUCUUACUGAGAGUUUUAUAUAAGGAUAAAAAUAAUGAUAAAUGUGACAAUAUUAUUAUUAAUAUAUUUUCAUAAAAUCGUAUAAUAAACAAAACUUAAAAAUUUUAUGUAACCAUUACAAAAAGUAAAAGUAGAUAAAAACAAAAGAAAUAAAAAUAUCAGACUUUAUUAACAAUUUUUCAAGAGUUUAAGCUUUAAAUAAGAUGAUUGUGAGAUGAUUGUCAAAAAUUAAUGAGUCAAGGGUUAAGAAUACACGGCAAGUAUUUUCCAAUUUUUUUUCACAUAUAAAACAGUAUAUUUAGAUGUUUAAUGUAUUUUACAUUUGUUUCUUUUCCGUGAGAUCGUUACUAAUCUAUUGCUUGCGUCACAACUAUUACAGCAAUAGUUAUUAUCGCUUCUAUGUUUCUCCUAUUGAUGACUUUCUUUUAUUUUUGUUCUGAUUUCAAAUUGUUCUAUUUUGUGUGUUGUGCUACUAUCUUGACAAAUAUUGGUACGAGGCAAUAUCUUUUUACCAAUAAUAACGCCAUGUGCAUAAGAAUUAGUAUUCAACCAUUGUCGUCUUGCGUGACAUACUUUUAUUAAAAAUAUCAAUAUAAUUUUUUUUUUCUAAUAACAAAAUUUCUUAUUUUUUCUGGCUUAAGACUAAUUUAAGGUUUGCUUAGGUAAGUGUAAUUAGACUAUUCAACAAUAUAACGUAUUAAUAGUCAUUCAUAGUCAACAAUAACGCCUCGUGAUUUUUGGGAAAUACUUUCAUAUUGCAAUAUUACUUUUUGGGCCUAAGAAAUGCUUUAGGUUUGCGAUUAUAGCAUAGUGAUAUUUUUUGUUCAGUCUAACAUUACGUUGAUUGACAUUUUAAGCAGUUGCUUUUACUCUAUUCAAGAAUUCCUAUUUCUACACAAAUGUGAGCAAAGAGAGUAAAAUAAUAUUGUACAGAAUGGUUCUUUUAACUUGUCUUAAACAUCUUUGGUAUUUUGAA